rnacentral:rRNA from 1 species
CAAUAGCGUAUAUUAAAGUUGUUGCGGUUAAAAAGCUCGUAGUUGGAUUUCUGCUGAGAACGACCGGUCCGCCCUCUGGGUGUGUAUCUGGCUCUUUCUUGGCAUCUUCUUGGUGAACGUUGCUGCACUUGACUGUGUGGAGCGCUACCCAGGACUUUUACUUUGAGGAAAUUAGAGUGUUUCAAGCAGGCAUACGCCUUGAAUACAUUAGCAUGGAAUAAUAAGAUAGGACCUCGGUUCUAUUUUGUUGGUUUCUAGAGCUGAGGUAAUGAUUAAUAGGGAUAGUUGGGGGCAUUCGUAUUUAACUGUCAGAGGUGAAAUUCUUGGAGUUGUUAAAGACGGACUACUGCGAAAGCAUUUGCCAAGGAUGUUUUCAUUGA